rnacentral:rRNA from 1 species
AACGAACGCUGGCGGCAUGCUAACACAUGCAAGUCGAACGAAGGCUUCGGCCUUAGUGGCGCACGGGUGCGUAACGCGUGGGAAUCUGCCCUUGGGUUCGGAAUAACAGUUAGAAAUGACUGCUAAUACCGGAUGAUGACGAAAGUCCAAAGAUUUAUCGCCCAGGGAUGAGCCCGCGUAGGAUUAGGUAGUUGGUGGGGUAAAGGCCUACCAAGCCGACGAUCCUUAGCUGGUCUGAGAGGAUGAUCAGCCACACUGGGACUGAGACACGGCCCAGACUCCUACGGGAGGCAGCAGUGGGGAAUAUUGGACAAUGGGCGAAAGCCUGAUCCAGCAAUGCCGCGUGAGUGAUGAAGGCCUUAGGGUCGUAAAGCUCUUUUACCAGGGAUGAUAAUGACAGUACCUGGAGAAUAAGCUCCGGCUAACUCCGUGCCAGCAGCCGCGGUAAUACGGAGGGAGCUAGCGUUGUUCGGAAUUACUGGGCGUAAAGCGCACGUAGGCGGUUAUUCAAGUCAGAGGUGAAAGCCCGGGGCUCAACCCCGGAACUGCCUUUGAAACUAGAUGACUGGAAUCUUGGAGAGGUCAGUGGAAUUCCGAGUGUAGAGGUGAAAUUCGUAGAUAUUCGGAAGAACACCAGUGGCGAAGGCGACUGACUGGACAAGUAUUGACGCUGAGGUGCGAAA